UACGUAGGGACCAAGCGUUGUUCGGAUUUACUGGGCGUAAAGGGCGCGUAGGCGGCAAUUCAAGUCAUCUGUGAAAUCUCCGGGCUUAACCCGGAACGGUCAGAUGAUACUGCUUUGCUAGAGUGCGGAAGGGGCAAUCGGAAUUCUCGGUGUAGCGGUGAAAUGCGUAGAUAUCGAGAGGAACACCUGAGGUGAAGACGGGUUGCUGGGCCGACACUGACGCUGAGGAGCGAAAGCGUGGGGAGCGAACAGG
rnacentral:rRNA from 1 species